CAGCCGCCGCGGUAAUACGAAGGGUGCAAGCGUCAAUCGGAAUUACUGGGCGUAAAGCGUGCGUAGGCGGUGAGUUAAGUCUGCUGUGAAAUCCCCGGGCUCAACCUGGGAAUGGCAGUGGAUACUGGCUCGCUAGAGUGUGUCAGAGGACGGUGGAAUUCCCGGUGUAGCGGUGAAAUGCGUAGAGAUCGGGAGGAACAUCAGUGGCGAAGGCGGCCAUCUGGGACAACACUGACGCUGAGGCACGAAAGCGUGGGGAGCAAACAGGAUUAGAUACCCGCGUAGUCCCUGUCUCUUAUAC
rnacentral:rRNA from 1 species